GACUCAGAUCCACAAUAUCAACGACAAUCCCAAUUCGAACAUUUCGUCGAACACCUAGCAUGCGUUAUGCUGGGAUUUGCUUCUUCUCACACUCACAAGAAUCCUUUCUUCCAAUCUGCACACAUGAACAUAUAUAUUUCAGCACUUACUCACAUAUGCACAACAUAAUCCGCAGCAAGGGACAUAGGCUCACCUACAAAAGAUGGGGAGGGUGCCGACCAUGGAAAAACAGAGGGGCUGCCUUGAGAACUUAGGGCAGGGGCGAGCUCGGCUAGGGCUGGGGGAAAACAGAGCAAGGGCAGCCAGGGAGAGGGGCUGGGGCGAGCUAGGGCUGGGCACAGAAGGAGGGCGAGCUUGGCAUGGAGAGGGGCUGCAAUAAGAACAGCAAGGAAGGGGGCAGAGGGCGGUCAUGGCAGAGGCGAGCUCCAUGGAGGGAGGGGCGUCAGCCACCAAGAAGGGGAGGGCGCCAUGGGAACGAGGGAGGAGAUGGUGAGCAGAGGGGGGGGGCGAGCUGCAGCACCCAAGAGAGGGCGUGCGGCGGUGGGAAGAUGCUAGGGAGAGGAGCGACGGUGGGAAGAUGCCAGGG
rnacentral:lncRNA from 1 species